AACAGGGCAGUUUUGCUGCUGGAAGGCAGGCAAUAAUAUGGCCUGGCUGCAGGGCUGUUGGUAUCAGCUGGAGCUCAUUUUCUGACCAGCAAACUGUUCAUCCAAUUGCCUGUUAUAACUGUGACAUUGGUCACCUCAGUCAACAGGACAGUUCUGCAUAGCUCACUCCCAAACUUCAAGAUGGAUGACCGAAGCUUCUGAUGCAAACCAACAAGAUGAGGGGUUGUUAGCAGAGCAGUUAAAGUAUCUUGCUGCUACUCCAGUGGCAUGAUUUGGAGCCCUGUUCCAGACUUGAGCCAAAGACCAUCACCAUCUAUCCUACUGUAUGUGAAUACCUAAUCAUUCCAGCACGGGAGUCAAAGCUGGUCUUAUGUGAUACUUGCCACCUUACUGCUGAUUAUAGAAACUGGCAUGUCUUAAGUGCAUUGGUCAAUGAGCUGCCGAGACUCAGGACAGACCUUUGAUUCAGAGGCAAACAUCCUUGGGAACAAAAAUCAAGUUAUACAAACCAUCAUAGCAAGAAUACAUCUUAUUUGGACAAACACUUGUGACUAUUUCAUCAGCAUUUGCACUGCCCCAGACAAAGCACCCAGCAGAAGGAAGUAGGAGUAGUAGAGAAAUAGCUGUUAUAUUUAUUAGUUGAGCAAAACAUUUACAAAUCUUUAACUUUAAGACAGAUAAAAGUCUGCCGAUUCACCUAGGCUAGGACAGCUUCAAGGAUGUUCCAGCAUCAUGGUAAACAUGACAUAUUUAGACUUG